AAUCUUUUUCUCCCUAAAGUGGUAAACAUUAGGGAAUAGAUGAAUACAUAUUACUAGUCUCUGUUAUUAAACAACAUCACAUGGAAAAAGUGAAUGAGAGAGGGAGAGUGGGAGGCAUAUAUGCUUCGUAGUGCAUGCAACAGCAUUUCCAAGGAAUGUCAAUGACUAAUUUUUUAUUUUUCCAGAACGGGUGCAUGUAAUUGCUUCACACAUAUUUUCUGUAGUGAUUCUUAAUUUCAUAAUAAUUAGUGUUUUUAUCUUUUUCUUUUUUUCUUUCCAGCUUGGUUUAGUGAUUGAUCUAACA
rnacentral:misc_RNA from 1 species